AGAGAUUGGGUCCCGCUGCUCUAGCUCUGCCCUACAACUAGGCCGACCCGCCCAGGCCCCGCCCAGCAUGUGGUGAUGGACAGACCGGUGGCUCCGCCCUCCAGGAGACUCCCCCACCACCAAUCAGAAGGCGGCCCCUCCUGCCGCACGUGGCCUGUGAGCGCUGAAGAAAACCAAGUGCACCUUUUCCUGGCUAGGGCGUUCGUGGCAGUAUCCCGUGUCUGGAGCUUUGAGUGGGUAGAUAAUGACCUUCGUUGGUAUUGUAUACACUGAUUAAGCAAACAACAGUCUCAGCAAUGAAGACGAUUUAAAACAAAAAACAGUACAGGAGCGAAGGACAGAACGAAACAAGGGGAAGGCUGAAGCCAACUUGAUCAGAAUUAUGCUAGGGGAAGGGAAGAGCAAAAAAUUGGAAGAACGAACGAUAAUCCAGCUUGACCUUCAAAGGCAGAGCAAAAACUGAGAUGUUACCAGUCACCCCAUUCCUAGGACUGAAGACAGUGCUGUGCAACAAUGGCUUCAUAGCUCUCAUUAAGGUGUUCAUUAGACACUCAACAGACUAUGGCAGUAUAGUAGCUUUUCAGUGAAAGAGUGCAUUCAUGUUUUCCUGUCAUAUUAAGCGCAUAAGCAGCAUCUCCUGAGCGAAGCUAGAUGGUCUUUGGCUGAACUCUAGAGAUCCAAGUCUGAACCAAGGGUUUUGGAACAUAGCCCGGAGCACGGUCAUCCCUGGUACACAGAAAGAUUAAGAGACAUCCGGACCCCUAUGGAAGAUCUCUUCAUUGGUAUCCUAGGCUGUAGGAGCCUGAAUGCAAAGGAGAGCUGUGAGCAGCUGAGGAACUACAAGCAUUUCACUAGCUGGAAUGAAGAGGAGGAGACAAGGAAGUCUGAGAACCAGCUGGAAGAGUGGGCUGGGACCGAGUCCAGCUGGCUUGGC
rnacentral:lncRNA from 1 species